rnacentral:rRNA from 1 species
CCAGACUCCUACGGGAGGCAGCAGUGAGGAAUAUUGGUCAAUGGGCGAGAGCCUGAACCAGCCAAGUCGCGUGAGGGAGUACUGCCCUAUGGGUUGUAAACCUCUUUUGCCGGGGAGCAAGGGCGGGGACGUGUCCCGGCCCGGAGAGUACCCGGAGAAAAAGCAUCGGCUAACUCCGUGCCAGCAGCCGCGGUAAUACGGAGGAUGCGAGCGUUAUCCGGAUUUAUUGGGUUUAAAGGGUGCGUAGGCGGGCUUUUAAGUCAGCGGUAAAAAUUCGGGGCUCAACCCCGUCGUGCCGUUGAAACUGAUGUUCUUGAGUGGGCGAGAAGUAUGCGGAAUGCGUGGUGUAGCGGUGAAAUGCAUAGAUAUCACGCAGAACUCCGAUUGCGAAGGCAGCAUACCGGCGCCCAACUGACGCUGAAGCACGAAAGCGUGGGUAUCGAACAGGAUUAGAUACCCCCGUA